AGCAAGAACACACAUACUGCUAAACAAGCAGCAAGCCAAGCCAUUCGAUCAAGAUCAUCAACACAGCAAGCAUGCCGAAAAACAAAUCGAAAGCGUCUUCUGAACCUGUGACACCCACGAAUGAUAGAGCACCAAAGGGGCCCAAGAAUGGGCAAAAGAUGAAGACGGAUGGCAAGCCAACAUCUUCAGGAGAUAAACCUACAGCUACAGCUCCGAGUACAUCUGUUCCUCCGACGAACGAUAAAGCUCCAAGAGGACGCAACUGAAAAC